GUCUAUGGCCAUAUGGCCUUGAAUACCCCAGAUCUCCUCUGAUCUCACAAGCUAAGCAGGAUCGGGCCUGGCUCGUACUUGGAUGGGAGACCAACUCUGUAAUGCAGUCUUGGAGAAAUAGGCU
rnacentral:rRNA from 1 species